ensembl:lncRNA
CCCGGCCCCGCCGGGGACCUGAUGUGGGGCGACGCGGGGGGAUCCCUCCCCCUGCCGCCCCGGCAGCACUCGCUGCCCAACGGGGAAACUGAGGCACGGGGUGGGGGGGGACACGUGCGCCCACCAGGCCGACRCGGGGAGGGACCGCAGGGGUCCGGCACGCUGCGACCCCCAGGACGCCGCCGCUGGGGCGCACCGCCCGGGCACCCGGCACCUCGGGACCCCCCCAGCAGGGCCAGGCGCCCGCAAACGCUUCCCUUAUUUAGUAAAUACUUGCAGCUGGAGCCUGAGCAGCUCCGGGAGGGUUUAACCCUUCGGGGGGACGGAUCAGCCGAGCCGGGGCCCCCCCCGCCGCAGCGCUCCGCCCGCCCCGGGGCUGCGAGCCCCUUCCCCGAUGCCCCCCAUCCCUCGGCUGCUGGGGGGGGUGGGGGGUCGCGACACCUGGAUCCCCCCUAGGCGGAAAACGGGGAGACAGGCCGGGGCCGGGGCGGCUCCCGGAGGCCCGUGGAUGUCCCAGGACACCUGGGAUGCUGCCGAGGCAGGGCGGCCACGGGGCGCUCCCAGCCCUGGGAACCGGCCGCCUCGGCCCUUCCCGGCGUGUCCCAGCUGGGCUGGGGCUGCUGGCAGCCGCGGGGCGUUGACGCCGCRUGCCGCGGCCCCGUUACCGGCAGCGCGUCCGGCUGCGCCGCCUGGUCCGGCAGUGCCGGCUCCACCCCGGGGGGAGGCGAUUUUCAGCCUGCGAUUUUCAGCUGCUUCCCCAGGGGAGCAUCUCGCUUCCUCUUCUGGGGCGGGAGCCUGCGAGCGCCGGGGGCUGCGCGACAGGCUCCCGGCUCCGGCCCUGCCAGGGAGUGUGCCGGCAGGGAGCGGGAUGCCGUUCCCGCGGGGUCGCAGCUCCAGAAGGGAGGAUCCCGGGAAGGAGAGGGAUGCUGUUCCCGUGGGGUUGCAGCUCCGGGAGGGAGGAUGCCAGGAAGGAGUGGGAUGCCGUUCCUGUGGGGUUGCAGCUCCAGGAGGGAGGAUGCCGGGAAGGAGCGGGAUGCCAUUCCUGUGGGGUCUUGACUCCGGGAGGGAGGAUGCCAGGAAGGAGCAGGAUGCUGUUCCCGUGGGGUUGCAGCUCCAGGAGGGAGGAUGCUGGGAAGGAGCGGGACACUGUUCCCGUGGGGUCUCGGCUCCGGGAGGGAGGAUGCCAGCAGGGAGUGGGAUGCUGUUCCAGUGGGGUCGCGGCUCCAGGAGGAAGGAUGCCAGGAAGGAGUGGGACACCGUUCCCGUGGGGUCUCGGCUCCGGGAGGGAGGAUGCUGGCAGGGAGUGGGAUGCCAUUCCUGUGGGGUCGCGGCUCCAGGAGGGAGGAUGCCAGGAAGGAGCGGGACACCGUUCCCGUGGGGUCGCAGCUCCAGGAGGGAAGAUGCCGGCAGGGAGCGGGACACCGUUCCCGCGGGGUCGCGGCUCCGGGAGGAGGAGGCGGCGGCAGGCGACGAGCGCGGAGGGCAGGAGCGGGCGGCGCGGGAGCCCGCGGCGGGGCCGGACUCGCCCCCUUCCUCUCGCCGCCGCGGCCCCGCCGGGCGCUUUGUUCCUUUGACUCAUCGCUCUCGGCUUGUUUUUUCCUCCUCCUCGGGCCGCUCCGGCGCCCGCGAGGUGCCGCGACGGGGCCGGGCCGCGACGAGACGGCRGAGCCGACGGGGCGCCCG